rnacentral:rRNA from 1 species
ACUGACCUCUGGUUUACCGGUUGUGCCGCCAGGUGCAUCGCCGGGUAUCCAAGUCGGGAUCGGAUAAGCGCUGAAAGCAUCUAAGUGCGAAGCCGGCCACAAGAUUAGAUUUCUUUAGGGUCGUCAAAGACGAUGACGUUGAUAGGACGCAGGUGUAAAGACGGUGACGUCAAAGCCGAGCGUUACUAAUUGCCCGUCCGCUUUAUUC